GACCAUCCUGAAACCAAAGCAAAACAAGCAGAAAAGGGAGGAUAAAGCCCGUUUUUAGAGUCUAAACUUUGGAGUUGAAUGACCUAGAUUAAAACCAAAUUUGCCAAUAUUGAGCCAUGGAAUCUUCAGGGAAGGACUUCAUGAGACAUUUUGUCAAUUAAAUGGGAACAAUAAUAGCAACUGCAGUGAUGGCAUUGACCAACAAGUAUUUCAAGGUCUGGGACCUGUGGAUGGGAACCUUUACAGCCUAAGAACAGCUUAGAAAAUAAAGAAUCAAUCAGCACUGCAGCAGGAGAUACGAAGUCCUCCAUGUGGAGAUCUGUUCUUUUCUUGGCAACCAGUAACAAAACAGACAUUGCUUCAGUCAUUAUCCAUCGACUACUGGGCAGGAGGCCACCUAUGCUGUCUUCAAAACAAAGGCAAAAGCUAAGGCCCUCAAGUGUGAGAAGAUAAACCCAAGCAAAGGACACUGUUUACCAAGAACUGGGACACUGCUGCUUUGGGUUUGGAAGAUGUGAGUGAAUUUUGCCUAUCAGUCCCCUCACAAAGACUCACUCAAGGCUCAGAAU